rnacentral:rRNA from 1 species
CCCGCACAAGCGGUGGAGCAUGUGGUUUAAUUCGAAGCAACGCGAAAGAACCUUACCAGGUCUUGACAUCCCGAUGCUAUUUCUAGAGAUAGAAAGUUACUUCGGUACAUCGGUGACAGGUGGUGCAUGGUUGUCGUCAGCUCGUGUCGUGAGAUGUUGGUUAAGUCCCGCAACGAGCGCAACCCCUAUUGUUGGUUGCCAUCAUUCAGUUGGGCACUCUAGCGAGACUGCCGGUAAUAAACCGGAGGAAGUGGGGAUGACGUCAAAUCAUCAUGCCCCUUAUGACCUGGGCUACACACGUGCUACAAUGGUUGGUACAACGAGUUGCGAGUCGGUGACGGCGAGCUAAUCUCUUAAAGCCAAUCUCAGUUCGGAUUGUAGGCUGCAACUCGCCUACAUGAAGUCGGAAUCGCUAGUAAUCGCGGAUCAGCACGCCGCGGUGAAUACGUUCCCGGGCCUU